AAAAUUGGACAAUGGGGGCAACCCUGCUCCAGCGCUGCCGGGUGUGUGAAGAAGGUCUUCGGAUUGUAAAGCACUUUAAGUUGGGAGGAAGGGCUUUAGGUUAAUACACUGAAGCUUUGACGUUACCGACAGAACAAGCACCGGCUAACGCUGUGCCAGCAGCCGCGGUAAUACAGAGGGUGCAAGCGUUAAUCGGAAUUACUGGUCGUAAAGCGCGCGUAGGUGGUUCAGUAAGAUGGGUGUGAAAUCCCCGGGCUUAACCUGGGAACUGCUUUCAUAACUGCUGAGCUAGAGUACGGUAGAGGGUAGUGGAAUUUCCUGUGUAGCGGUGAAAUGCGUAGAUAUAGGAAGGAACACCAGUGGCGAAGGCGACUACCUGGACUGAUACUGACACUGAGGUGCGAAAGCGUGGGGAGCAAAC
rnacentral:rRNA from 1 species